GAAUGAAGAUCAGAGAUUUUCUUUUUACUGUAAACAGGAGGGGUUUCCCCCUGCUGUGUAUUUAUUUAUUAAGAAAAUGCGAACCAGCUUACAUAAAAGUUCAAGAGACAAAAAAAGGGAAAGAAAGUAAACAAAUAAGCAAAAAUUACAAGAUGGCUUCUAGCCAUUGUUGUAUGGAAGGAAAGUAUAUGUUAUAUGGAUGUAAAUAAGUACUUCUUUGCUCUGUGAAUAACCAGAGCAAACUCCAAUGCCAUAUAUAUUACACAUACAUGAUAGCCGGAGCUUGCAUUCACAUAUAUGUUCCUCACCCAACGCUAGUUGCAGUAGUUUUUUCUAGCAGGUAUAUGUAGGGGGAGAGAUCGAUCGAGAUGGAUGAUGCCAACAAUGGAUACAUCAGCAGCAUAUAUAGAAGCAAAGGAACCAACAGCAGCAAAAGGUGAAAAAAAGAAGAAGAAAGAAACCAAGGUGUGUGUGUGACCCCAAGGAUGCAAAACCGAACGAACAGGUUGAGAGGCAGCAGCAGGCAGCCAUAUGCCAUUAGCUCACGCAGGAGCUAGCUAGCAGUUUAAUCACUCGCUGCCCGCGGGCUUGUAGGCGAUGAAGCUGACGCACUGCGUCUGCUUGAUGUUGUCGAAGCCGAGGAUCCGGACGUAGGCGUCCGGGUAGGAGGCGAUGGCCUCCUGCAGCUCCUUGUAGACCUGCGACGCGUCGGUGCAGCCGAACAUGGGCAGCUUCCACAUGGUCCAGUAGCGGCCGUCGUAGUAGCACGGGGAGGUGGAGUUCUCGCGGUACACGAAGCCUUCCUUGCUGAACUCGAGGCAGGGCACCCAGUUGUUGCGCAGCAGGUAGUCCACCUGCUUCAGCAGCUGCUCCUCCGUCAGCGGCGGCAGGUACGACAGCGUCUCGAACUUCUUGUUCCCGUACGCCGGCCACACCUGCAAAUUAAUGCAUGCAUCGAUCGAUGUACGUGUUUGUGGUUGCAUUUCGCUAGCUCUGCUGCAAAGAAUGAAUGAAGAUGGCCGGCCGGAGCCAAGAACGAAAGGCCAACUAGCUCUUGUGUUAAUUAUGUUGUUAUUACCUGCAUGCACCGGAUCCUGCCGCCGUUGCUGACUUUGGCGAGGCUGGUGGUGGAGCGGCGGGCGACGGGGAGGGUGGCGGUGGACUUGAGACCCUGGAACGGAGCGACGGCGGUGGCGGACGAGGCCAUCACGGUGGGCGCCAUUGCUGCUGCUAUGUAGUACUAGUAGCUAGUGAGGGAGCGAGCUGAGAGUGAGCUGCUUGCUGUUUUUGCUGCUUCUUGCUGCUUGGGUCGUCCUGUAGGCUCCCCCACCGAGGGCAUAUAUAGAAGAGGCAGCGAGCGUGCGUCCAUGGCGACGGAUGGCUGUCGUUGGGGCAAGGACGGAUCGGACGAAUGAAGCGGAUGUGGGAGGAGUGGCCACCGUUGUCCCAUGGCGGGCAACCCGGCCAGCCUGGCCUAUCCUGAUCGCGUCCGCCGCCACAUGUCGCGUCCCCGUGGCGCGCCUUAUCGUCUCAGCCAGCCAACAUGUCCAUGGAGCCACGCCACGCCACGCCAUGGUUGGACUAUAUGUGAUGUGCCACCACUUUAAUUAUUUGUAGAUAGAUAGAUAGAUAGAUAAGCUAGCCGCAGGUAGUAGUGCAGUGGUGAAAGUCACUACUACUGACUGCAAACCAAAAUUUCCCUGGCCGUGCCCGGACUCGCUCGCUGUCUCCGAUUAAACCUAGGUAUAUGUUGAGCAGGACGUCCCCUGGCCGUCGCCAUGGCCGGACUCGCUCGAUCUCUAGGAUCCGAGGUGGUCCUGCUCUGCUCCGUCGUCGGCGAAGAUGAAGACACACCCACUCGUCGUCCCCUUCCUCAUGCAAAUCUGCGCCGCACAAGCUGUUUCCAAAAUUUCGCUGGCCGUGGCCGGACUCGCUCGCUAUCUAUCUCCGGUCUCCCGUCGCCGAUCAAACCGAUCGAGCAGGACGUCGCCGCCGUGGCCGGACUCGCCCUCUAGCUCGUCGUCCACGAUCGAGCCAGGAUCCGGCCGAGGUGGUCGUGGUCCUGCUGCUCGGUCGGUGAAUGACUGACUCGUCCCCUUCCUCCUGCUGCAAAUCUCCGCCGGACGCAUGCAUCCGCCGUCUCUCUCAAGCAGAAGCAGUUCCAUUCAGCUCGAUCGUCGUGGUUUGUGAAAGGAUAAGUGAAGAACGACGACAAUGGAAGGGGAAAAAAAGACAAACAGUUUUGGGCUUGGGCUUGCUUCGGCUGCGUCUGCUUGCUCUUCGCCUCUAGUGCUCUCGUCCCUCUCACAUGUUCUACUACAUUCUACACGGACGGCUGCUCCGGACCACCUGAUGAUGCACUGAUGAUCACGGCCUGUUUGGAUCUAUAGAAUUAAUUGGGCUGAAUUUGGAAUCAGUUUCAUGGGUCUCGGCUAGUUUGGCUGCGCAUUGAACUGGAAAGUGACAUUCCAAGCUGUUCCAGAGCCUGAAUUUGUGGCCUAGCUACCUCAAAUUCAUGGGCUAUCCAAGACAAAACGAGUCCGCCUCCUCAUUGUCUUCAUCGGGCGUACGACGCUUCAUUCCUCAACCAUUUGACCUGUUCUAUAUUUCUAAAAAGAAAAGCCGCCCGCCUUGACCAUUACGAAAAAUACAUAAACGAUUCGCUAAAGUUGCAUUUAAAUUCCCCACGUUUGUCAUUUCUAAAGAUAAAUUUAAAAAGCCUUCUAAAUUGCAAUUAAUUACCGAAACAUGCCUAAAAAUGCGUCUGCAUUUUUUUUUACUAUGAAAGGUACUAGACACAUAUUCACGCAUUGCCGCGGGAUUUUCUUAAAAAUAAUCUGUUUUGUAUAUAGCAAUGCUAUAUGGUAUUCUGUAUAUUGUGUGUAUAUUUAUGAAUUUGACUUGCAUGUUAUUUUAUUGUAUCGGAUCUAGUAAAAAAACAAUAAGCUAAUAGAAAAAACCAAUAAAAUAGUUGAUUGCGUUAUACAAGAAUAGGUGAUGAAACAAAUAACAUAUGUAAAUAACUUUACAUCUACAUAAUAGAGAUGAUGAGGAUAUUUUUUGUAAUUAAUAAGGGAUGACAUUUACGUUAAUAGGUUAGAGAUUAAAAGUAUUGCACAUAAUAAAGAUGAUGUGAAUAUAUUUUAUAAUUAAUAAGAGAUAUUGUGUAAUUCGAAAAAAAGGAUGCAUGACAUGGAUAGCUUGCAUGAAAGGAUUGCAAGUUAGUGGGACACUUAUGGGGUGUUUGAAUCUUGGGACUAAAGUUUAGUCCUUGUCAUAUGUUGGGUACUAAUUAGUAGAAUUAGACAUGAGCUAAUUAUAAAACUAAUUACAUAAGUUGUGGCUAAUUCACAAGAAAAAUCUAUUAAGCCUAAUUAAUCCAUUGUUAACACAUGUUUACUGUAGCACCACAUUGUAAAAUCAUACACUAAUUAGGCUUAAUAGAUUCGUCUCAUAAAUUAGCUACAAUCUAUGUAAUGAGUUUUGUAACUAGUGUAUAUUUAAUAAUACUCUAAAUUAGUAUACAAACAUCCAAUGUGAUAGAAACUAAAGUGAGGGAUGAUAUUAACACCUUGCAUUCAGAGAGAAAACAUCUAGUCGGGUCCAGCUUUAUAAAAGUAUAUAGAUUACAAAGUAACACUAAAUGUGCCUUUUUAGAUUACAUAUAUCUAAACAAUGUAAAUACGCCACAAAUGUUUGUCUUACCUAUAAUAUAUAUUGUACAAAAUAAUUCAGUAACCAUAAAAAUAUGCUAUAUAUAUUUCUAUACACAUUCUACCAUUGUAAAAUUAAAAGUAAGCAUUAAUGCUACGGGUCAUCAUGUAGACAAAGUAAACAUGCUAUUGAUACGAUAAACAAUUUACAAUGAGUCAUCUAGCCAUUUUUCUGGCUAGGAACUCAACGAAAUGGGCAAAACAGCUAUUUAAAUGGGCGUCAAUGGUCGAAUAAACAGAAAUGACAGACCACCAUGCAAUGUUCAAAUGAGGUUUAAGCAGGCUAAGUGAUGGUUUACUCGAACCAUGGUACAAACAUAGCAAAAAACAAAAAAAAACAUUACAACAAGCAUUAGAAAAAACAUAUAGCUUGUUUCUACUGUCCCACCGCAAAAACCACCUAAAGCUAUGAUUAAGCUUUUCAAAAUUUAGGGAUUUUUUUGUAAAUAAAACUGACCCUGUAAAUAUUUUUCAAAACCAAGAACUAAAAUGUUGUAGUUCUUACCUCCAAAUAAUUACAGAAAAGCUUAGAGGUCUUUUUUGUAAAAUUGUCAUUUUCAAAAUGAUUUUAAAUCUAAAAAUGUUAUGACAUAAUCAAUUGGAUUAAUGACAUUAGCAUAUAUUUUUGAAAUGAAUUAAUCAUUUCAUAAGAGAAAUAAUUUGGUUAGGGACUUGUUUGUAAAUAACCUUAGAUAUCUAGAUGGCAAUAGCUCCGCCGGUCUUUUGCCAAAAUAGUGCUUUGGCGGUUGUGAUCAUCAGCAAGCGAUAGAGAUAGCUGAGCAAGCCACGAUGAACAAGGGGAGGUUACCUUUAUAAUGAAGAGGCACAAGAGGAGGAGAUAGGGAGGGUGGUUAGCACCUCUGCUUGAGGUUGGCGGCGGCACAACUGCACAACGAUAGAGGCUGGGCAAUGGGUGGCACACUAGAGUGAGAUUGCUCGGGUGGAGGAAUCUUAUAUAUGGUGGUGGUGGAAUUUCUUGAGGACGCCGGAGAUGGGAGAAAAAGGUUGCUGAAGUCUUGCUAGAAAAAUCGCUAGCAAAAAGUCUUGUUUUAGAUCUAUAGAGUUUUUGGUGAUGCCUCAAGAAAUGGAUUCUAGAUCUGUGAUCAUCGCGAUGAGGACAAAAGGUUCUAGGAAAAGUACUAGAGAUAGAAGGAUGAGAAACUAAGAUUUUAGAGAUCAUUAGAAGUUUUGUUUCAAAGCUUAAAAUUUUAAAAUAUUAGUCUUAAUGGUAGGAGGAAUUGAUAAAUAUUACUCAAGUUAAGUCCUUCUACCCCGGUAUGUAUUCUACCACUGGAUUUUAACUUAUUUGGUUGAUUGCUCUCCCCACCGGACACGUCAGCCUAUACCCUUUCAUGUAGAGAAACACUAGUGUUUGCUAAAGGAAUAUUGAUAUGGAAACUUUUUUUCACCGUUUUACAUACCCGACGAAACACACACCCACGCACCCCAUGACCCAUGAGCCCGCCAUGGCCAACGGCCCAUAAGUGUCGCCGUUGUUGAUAAAGACGAGCUCGCUGGUGUUAGGGUUCUAGGUUUAGGGGACUCCAUGUCCGGCGGCCUUACAAAGGGAAGGGAGCUAGCGGUGGCGGCUAGCCUUGCGGUGGUAGCGGGUUGAUGUAGCAAGCAAGGUGGUGGGGGUGUUAUCGAUCGGAAGGUGGGAGACAACCGGUUGGCGGGGGCGAAGGUCAAGUGUCUUCCUCCUCGUGCUAAGAUUAGCGGAGGGUGAGGUGGUGUGAUGGGGCGGGCCAGCCGCGGCGGAGGCGCCACUGGCCGAGGCGGUGGGCGUGGAACUGUGGAAGGUGGAGGUGGGGUGUGAGCAGGGUUUAGAAAGAUGACGAGGUUGGAGCGGAGGUUAACGAAGAAUAACACAGGACGGGAUGGGGUAGCGCGUGAACCCGUCACGCAUUAACGUGGUCCCUUCAACAUGAGGAGCAGAUCGAGCGCCCAUCACGGCGUGGAUGCGCUCGGCUGUCUUGCACUCUCGCCGUCGCUGUCGUCGUUUGUCCGACGCCCUGAAUAGUAAAUCCUUCCCGGGUUAAACUAAUCGACUCGCCAUCUCCGUUCUCCCGUCGUCCCCGAUUAAACCGAGGUAUAUAUUGUGACUUACAGGACGUGGUGGGCGUGUCCGUGGCCGGACUCGCUCGCUAGCUGCUCGAUCGUGCACGAGCCAGGAUCCGACGAGGUGGUCCUGCUCCGUCGGUGAAGACUCCUCUACUCGUCCCCUUCCUCGUGCAAACCUGCGCCGCACAAGCUCAGCCGUAAGCUGCUCAGGCUGCCGUAAGACGCCGCAUGCAUCCGCCGUCUCUAUCAACUCUCAACCAGAUAGGCUCGUCGUCGUUUGUGAAAGGAUAUAAGUUAAGGACGCCAUGGGCAAAGGACAAAGGAAAUUAAAAGAUAUUUAUUUCAGUUUUGGGCCUUGGACGUACUUUCAGCUGCGUCUGCUUGCUAUUGUAGUCUGGCCUCUCUCACCUGUGGUGUGGGUGCCGCUUGUCGUGACUAUCGAUCUUCCUUGAUAUUGCUAAUUGGCACGACUCAAGCAGAAGAACAAGACAAAAAAAAGUUCACACACAACUUCCUUGUCGUGAUUAUCUUCAUUAAUAUUGCUACUUGGAGGCUUCUCAGUAUAUCUACGUCAAUCCUUAUGAGAUGCGGAAGGAAAAUUGACAAAUCGUGUAGGCAGUUUCAUAAAAAAAAAUCAGAAACAUCUAGCUUUUAAUUUUGUAGAUUUCAAUCAUCGCCACUAGUAAUACACCGUUCGACCUAUUCUCUUUUUCUAAAAAAAAUACCCAUCCGCCUCGACCAUUACGAAAAAUACAUAAACUAUUCCCUAAAGAUGCAUUUAAAUUUCCCAUUUCUCAUUAUGAAAGCUAAAUUUAAAAAAACCUCCUCACAUCGUAUUAUUUAAUUAACGAGACAUGCCGUUAACACUAAGUUUGCAUUUAUAUUACACACAUCUACCAUUAUAAAAAACAAUGUAAAUUCGCUAUUGUCCUACUUAUGCAUCUACACAAUUAACUAAAUAUCCUUCAAAUGUUUGACGUAAUACCAAUAUAAUCCAUUAUAGAAAACAAUCCAAUAACCAUAAAAAUGUCCUAUAUAGAUUUCUAAAUUACACAUUCCUUCUACCAUUGUAAAAUUAAAAGCUAGCAUUAACGUUGUGUUUCACCAUGUAGACAAGGUAAACAUGCUAUUUUAAUAGUUUAUCACUUAUGAAAAAUGUUCCCUAACCGAGAACAUACCAAUGACAUAGACACAAUUCACUUUAAGUUAUAUUAAUAUUUCAUGAUAACACUUUUUGUAGGUUUAAUCAGUUUAUAAAUGUAAAUGAAAUAUUAUCACUUAUAAAUACGUUAAUUUAAUUUAUGCUAUCUAUGUUUUCAUAAUACAAUAAUAUUACUACACUAUACAAUUCUUAUUUGUAGUAAAAAGAUUCAACAUCUUUAGGGUCGUGGCGCAGGUUAAAACAAUUUUUUAUGUUAUUGUAGUAACUAAGAGCCUAGUUAAGGCUGCAGAAUCUAUUUUUGAUUAAAAUAUAAAAUAUAAGAUUGAUAUUUUGAAUAAAAGAUACAAUAAGCACUAGACUCAACUUAACACGUGGAUAAGACAAUUGCAACAACUAAUAAAUCAGAAGUGAAAGUCAAAAUAGAUAUGAAGUCGCAAAAAUGUAUGUGACAAGAGCUAAUAUAACUGAAAUUUAGGAUUUAGCUAAAUACACAUUAAAGGCCCACAGAGGUGUAAUGCAGAUGAUGAAAACACAUAUAGACUUACUGGUAAAUUUUGACAAUCGGAUUAUGAUUCUAGAGUAUCUAAAGGUUUUGUGUUUGUAAGAUGAAUUCAGUGAAUAUAGAGAGUAAAGAUCAUCAUUUUGUUUAGGUUUUAUGUAGACUAUUUGUUUAGAUUUAGUAUAACACAGACACUUACAACCACACACACUAACCCCUAUAAACACACACAUGCAAACCCUAGACCUAUGAGGUACCUUCUAAGACGGGACCGACAAAUCCUCGAGACGAGAUUGAUGAAGUCACCACAAACGCUUUAUUGUCAAUGUGAACAUCAUCUACCACUGAAAUCAUAAAGUCGUUAAAUCCUAGAAUAUUCGCUCCUACGGGGAGUCAAACUUAGGACCUCAGGUGCUAUUGAGGUUCUGUGACCACUAGGCUACAUGCACUAAUUUACACAUAGAACUUCAAAUACAUCCCUAAAUACGAGAAAAUUGUAGAAAUCAUCUGUGUAGCAGUGCAACUUGGUGAUGCAAGCUUUUGUAUAUGAAAAAUAGGAGAAGAGAACAUUGCUGUAUGUAAAUGGAUUUCAGUUAUGCUUUUUUCUUGUGUUAAUAUUCUUAAUAAACAUAUUCUGUCCUGUGCAUGAAAAACAGAGGUUGGCAGCGCAAGGGGGAGAAAACAGAAUGAGAAGAAAGAGGCUCUGAUCCUAACCAUUGCUGGUUGUUCCUUGGAUGGCUGAGAGAUGCUGCUAGUGCUACUACUGCUUAAUUAUGUGCAGUAGCAGCACCCGAUCUUGAUCGCUCACAGUGGUGAGCCAGUCUUUAUUGGGUCUUGUUUAGUUCCGAAAAGUGAAAAGUUUUCGGUAUUGUAGCACUUUCGUUUGUUUGUGACAAAUAUUAUUUAAUCAUGGACUAACUAGGAUCAAAAGAUUCGUCUCGUGAUUUACAGCUAAACUGUGUAAUUAGUUUUUGUUUUAAUCUAUACUUAAAUGUUUCAUGCAUGUGCCACAAGAUUCGAUAUUACGGAGAAUCUUAAAAACUUUUUGAUUUUCAGGGUGAACUAAACAAGACCUUGGUCUAUAUAGACCAUUUUUCCUUUAUAUUGUGGCUGCCCUAUGUGCCUCAUGCAGUCAUGCAGGUCUCUCGAACUGUCACCUAUCUGACCGGGUAACAGUUUGUCUCCCUAGAGAAGCAAAGCCUUGAUCAAUUCCAAUGAAAGUCGUCGGUCCGGAACCCAAGAAAAUUAAGUUAUAGUGUUUGCAGUUCAGGCAGACAUGCAUGCACAACAAUCAAUUGAGCCUGCAGAAGGCAGGCAUGGAAAUGCAAAACCAUAGGCUGCUAUAUAUCCAGCGCCAGCUAGCCCAUGCAUGGUACGUGUGUACGUGCAUCAUCCAUGGCACCAAAUUAAACAGGUAGCCCCCGUCUCGCCUCUAAAUUUUGCAGGGGAAGCAGCAUUGUAGCAAACCCUACUGCCUCGGAUUUAUAUAUUCCUAGAACAAUUUCAUUUAUUGGUCCUGGGUAAGCCAUUUUUCAGUGUCAACAAUACGAAGCUAUAGGCUCAAAAAGUCAAAUAUAUAUUUGCAACAUAAGGUUAACAUUACUGCUAGAUGGACCAUCACAAAAGUACUUUUCAUAAUAUUUACAGAAAAUAUAUCAUGGAGUAAUAUAACUCUAUUUAAGAUAAUAUAUUGUUUGGGAUGUCAUAUGCGAGCAUGGACUAUUACUUUGUAGAUCUGUGUGUUCUCCUAAGGUUGCUAAUAUUAAGCGGUUCGAGAGUACUCCAAACCUCCAUACUGAAUGUUCAUCAGCCUAGUUGGCAUCACAGUAUUAUAUCACCUGAAGGUUCCAACUCACUGAUUACAUCAGCAUCUCCAAGAGUUUCCAAUAAUUUUUCCCAAAACCACAGAGUUUUCUAUCUCGCCAAAAAUUAUUAGGAUGAAUAAAUAAGACCAUCUCCAACAGUUAACAAUAAUCUACUCCUAAAAUAUAAAAAAUAAGUUUUACAUUAGGAAUCCUAUACUAUUUCUAAAUUAUCCAAACCACUUUUACAUAUUAUUUCUCUUUUUUAUAUUUGUAUCAGAAACCAUUUACUACUCUUUAUUAUUUCUCACAUCCUUCCACCUUUAUAGUGGCCGAUGGAUAUGCACGCGCGUGGUAGACGCGUGGAUAUAUUUGCGUGAUCGGUCUUUUUUCCAAGCAUGGAAGGAUUGGGAGGUGAGAUUGGGAACUAAUGGAGAUAGAUUUUUUCCAUUCUUGCCAAAAAUCUUAGAUUGGGAGGCUUUAUUGGGAACUCUUGGAGAUGCUCUAGGAAGCAAUGCUAGCACGAGCCAUAAACAUGCAAGUAUCGAUGUGGAGUCAAUAUGGCAAGAUAUUAGUCUUGCUAUACCUUAAUUGGAUAGCUAGAAUUAUUUACUCUUCCUCUUCUUUGCUUAGUCUAUAACCUAUGCCACCCUGUAAGCCCUAGAGCAAUAAGCCAUUCAAAUGGAGGACGGAUAUCAAUUCACUUGAAACUUUAUAUGGGCUAUGGUUUCAUUCACAUGUUCAUCGACCAAGUGCAGCGAGUGACAUGUGGGCCCCAUUUUCAAAAACCUCUCAUUGUGGCCCCAAGACUCUGCCAAUGAACUCGAGUUGAAUGGAAAGAAAUCACAAUGCCCCACACAACAAAGGGUGAUGGGUGGGCAUAGUGUGGAAGCAUCAUGCUGCAUAUUUAGGAGGUAGAGGUUAUGUGAAGUGGUGGUGUGCAUAGUGCGCAUGAGGGGUCUGGCAGGUAGGCUAGCUAGAGCAUAGUUGCACACUAGUGGCCAGUGGUAUGACCUAUCAAGAUGGAUAGGAAUAGAGUUAGCAAGUCUAAGGCCAGAUACAUAUGGCAAUUUGAAGUGUUUUUGUUUCCACUUUGAGUAUUUGAUUCAAAAUUAUUUUUCACAAAUUUCUCAUGCUCUUUGCUAUGUUAUCUACUGGCCCAUAGUUCAAAUUUAUUUUAUUUCCUUUACCACUGUGCAAGAAUUUGCUUUGUUAUCCACCUGCCAAAGUUUAGUUUGGAUGUAUGAUCUCUUGGAAGUCUUCAGGUCUAUUAAUUGAUGGUGAGGUUGGUUUCUUGGUCAAAUUACCUCAUGCUGGCAAGAUAUUUCCAUAGGGAUGCGCUCGGGCACAACAAGGCACACAAGUGUUGCUGAAUAUGGUGAUAAGGUGUGGAAAAGAUAUAAUUGGACACAUGCGAGUUGUCUAGACACAAUGCAUGGUUCACCAUGUCGAGGAGAUUUGAUACCGAAGAAAGGUGAUAUUUUCAUCGAUUAUGAGGAAGACAUCGAUGGACAACAUGACAACUCAUAUUGUAGGCAUGUGCGGCUUCUUGUGUUGCUCUGAUAGUUCCAAUGGCAUGAGACUAUGAUACAACCAGUGGGGCAAUAUGGGUGACAUGAUGAGUGGAAUAAGUGACAGCGUGGGGGAUGACGAUGCUAGGCAAGGGUGAUGUAUCAGUGAGGCCUGAUAGGUGAAAUGCAACUGAUGCCCUUGGCUAGAGUGGAUUGAGAGGGUAUGGGUGGUGGUGGGGGUGGAUCCAAGUAGGUUUAGGAAAUUAUAAAGGUUUCAUUCUUUUAGAGUAGUCCCAAUGAAUAACUACUUAGUAGUAACAUGGCAUAUAGACACCAAGUAAGAAAUUAUAGCUCACAACAGUGCACAAUCUCUAAUUGUGGCUACAAUGUAAAUUCUCCAAUCAUCUUUUUCAUGUUUCUCCUCCAAUCAUCUUCCUCCCCACUCCCAUAUUCUGCCUUGUUAUUUGUAAUACCAAUUCCAAUAGAUUUCAUGUUGUUUCUUGAACUUUGGUUCUAGUCGAAGGCCUAGUUUCUUGCAAGACACCCAAUUUCUUUAUGUUCUCAUCUCUAUCAUGUUUAAUGUUGUUGGCACCUCAGCAAAAUGUCCAACAUGGCAUCAUAUUAAAUGGCAUGAAAAUUAUCCUCUUCAUAGAAUAAGGACAGCCCUUGGUCGAUUUAGACUAAAUUUAGAAUUGGUUUUCAAUUUGAGUUAGGUUUGUACCAUCAAGAGUACAUUUCACACACACAAUUCAUGAAAGCACAUAAAUGCAUAUUCACUACCGGAAUCCGCAUCUUUGCCGAGUGUUAAAUACUUUGCUGAGUGUUUAUUUUUGGGCACUCGGCAAAGAAACUCUUUGCCGAGUGUCAAAAAAAAACACUCGGCAAAGACUUCUUUGCCGAGUGUCAAAAAAUAAACACUCGGCAAAGAAAAUUUUAAAUCGAAUUUUAAAGCCCUAAACGAAUUCAAAUCAAAAAGUUUUUAACUACAAAGUUGUAUAACUUCUCAAGAUCUACAACAUUUAUUUUGAUCAUUUCUUCAUUUGACAAAGCAAAAAUAAAUUUGUUUACAAAUUUUACAUCUCUCUCUUAUAGUUUAUGAAAUUACAAGAGAGAUAUAUAAAGAUUUUAGAAAAAUAUUAGAAUCUCCAUGUCGGAUAAAUAUAUGACAAAAUAACCAAAAUAAACUCUGUAGAUCUUGAGAAGUUAUGAAAUUUUGUAUUUGACAACUUUUUCAUUUGAGUUCAUCUUGUCAUGCAAAACCACGUUUUUAAUUGAAAAUUUUAAAAUUUGAAUUUUUUAAACAACCUCGGAUGGAAAAGAUCUCUAAAUAAACUUUGUAGAUCUCAAAAAGUUAUGAAACUUUGUAGUUGACAACUUUUUGUUUUGGAAUCAUCUUGUCAUGCAAAAACUACGUUUGAAUUUCUUAAAUUUAAAAUUCAAAAUUUGUAAACAACCUCGGAUGGAGAAACUUCCUAAAUAAAAAUUGUAGAUCCUAAAAAGUUAUGAAACUUUGUAGUUGACAACUUUUUGAUUUGAAAUCAUUUAGGACCUUAAAUAAUCAUUCUACACAUAAUUUGGUAUAAUAUUUGAGGAACCGAAAUACAAUACAAGCACAAGUCAUAGUGUGGUGCAGUGGUUAAGAGGGAGUACGCACAAGCAAGAGGUCACGAGUUCGAAUUCCAUAAACCGCGAAGAUCCAAAAAAUUCCAGAACUUAGCUGGCAAGAAGAGGCCGUUGGGAGCUGGAAAAAAAGAUUUUUUUUUCUCUUUUUUUUCGGAUUUUUUUGGUUUUUUUUGAAUUUUUUCGUUUUUAUCUUUGCCGAGUGUUUUUAGGCCUUUGCCGAGUGCCACGGACACUCGGCAAAGCGUGAGUGUCCCGUAGUGAUUGUUGUGUUUAAUGUAGUUUUUCCAACGUUUAUAGAAUUUCAAAUUGGCUCCUUUUAACGUGGUUUCAAUUCUAUUUGCGCCAAAUUGAAUUGAUUGAUUUAGGCCUUGUUUAGUUCCCAGAAAAUUUUGCAAAAUUUUUCACAUUCCCCGUCACAUCGAAUCUUUAGGCGCAUGCAUGGAGUAUUAAAUAUAGAUAAAAAUAAAAACUAAUUGCACAGUUUAGUCGGAAUUGACGAGACGAAUCUUUUGAGCCUAGUUAGUCCAGAUUAGACAAUAUUUGUCAAUACAAACGAAAGUGCUACAGUGUCGAUUUCCCAAAAUUUUUUGGAACUAAACAAGGCCUUAAGGAUUUCACACUUACAAGUACAUCCUGAUUCAACAAGUUGAAAGACAGAUCAAGAGCCAGAGCUACCACAACGGUAGUUUCCAGUUGCCUGUAAUGCCACUGAUGAUAUCUCAAAUUUGCUAGGGUAUCUAGCGUUCGAUCCACGAUCAAAUAUAGGCUGUUUGUGUAGAUAUUAAAAUGAAGAGAAAGGGAAUAUAGAUCGAUCCAUCAGAGAAGCAUUGAAGCAGUGCAAUAGAUAUAUGUCAGCAAGUUGGCCGUAAAGCAAAUGCAAGGCCGCAAGGGCAAGGGCGGCAUUGGUAGUUAAUAUAUACUGCCACAAACAGGUGCAUAUAUAAAUUAGGUUUUGAAUAAGCUACAGAUAGAUGCGCGUUAUAUAUACUGCAUUGUAGCAAAAAAGGUUAGUCGUCGUAAUAGCUAGGGCACGUACGAGCAUAAGAAGAAUUAUUGCAAAAAAGCAAAGCGGAGAGGGAGAGCUAGCUACACUGCAGAUCGAUAGGCAGCGCAUGCAGCAGCAGCCUCUGCUCCUUACUACGGCCUUGUUUAGUUCACCCCGAAAUCCAAAAAGUUUUCAAGAUUCUCCGUCACAUCGAAUCUUGUGGCACAUGCAUGAAGGAUUAAAUUUAUACGAAAACAAAAACUAAUUACAUAAUUUGUCUGUAAAUCGCGAGACGAAUCUUUUGAUCCUAGUUAGUUUAUAAUUGGAUAAUAUUUGUCAAAUAAAAUCGAAAGUGCUGCAGUAGCGAAAUCCGAAAUUUUUUCAGAACUAAACAAGGCCUACGUUUUAUUGCUCUUGAAUCUCGACGCAUGGACGAAGCAGCAGCAGCCUCCUCUGCUUGACUUGAAUGGUACUGUACGUACCACAGCAGCUCCACUCAGCUGGAUGAUCAUGCAUCAUGCAGCUAUGGCCGUGGAUUCGUCGUCUCGGUAUCCACGCUAGCUGCUAGAGAUUCUUCGGCUUCUUUAUUUGAUGCAUGCAGCAGCAUUCGCUUUGAUAGAGAAAGAUCGAUAGGUCAGAGGGCUCUGGAGAGGAAUGGGAGGGGACAGCAUGCUACAGACAUGAAGCUUAGCUUGCCACCUAGUAUGUAGUGUAGGCCGGCCGGGAACCCAACUUCCAUGCAUGCGUGCAUCGUGCGUGAAUCCAUGACGGGUCACUAGCGCUUUGCAGCAAGCUCAGAUGCUCACGUACUUGUACGGCCUUGUUUACUUCCCAAAAAAUUUUACAAAAUUUUUCAUAUUUCCCGUCACAUCGAAUCUUUAGACGCAUGUAUGGAGUAUUAAAUAUAGACGAAACUAAAAACUAAUUGCAUAGUUUAGUCGGAAUUGAUGGGACGGAUCUUUUGAGCCUAGUUAAUCUAUGAUUGGACAAUAUUUUUCACAAACAAACAAAAGUACUACAGUACCUGUUUUGCAAAAUUUUUUGGAACUAAACAAGGCCGCAUGGACGUCGUCGGACGACACUGCAGACACAGUAGUAUCCUGCAGGAGGAGCAUUCCAUCCCACUCCAGUAUUCACCCCUUGGAUCGAAAUACCUGCAGGCUGCAGCAAUGCAUGGGAGAAAGUGUAGUUGCAUGCUCUCCGGUCUCUACUGGUAGUACGCAAGAAGUAACUUGCAUGGCGCCAAAUGACAAGCUAGUGUGAAGAGCUUUGUCUGCAGCAAAUUAUAUUACUGUAUUUAUCUAGCGAAAUAUUGAGAAUCAAAAUCUUAGCAACUAGUUUAUUAUAUUCAACCCAAAACCGCAAAUAUAUGCACAUGCAUAUUAUUAUUAAUUAAUCAUGCAUGCAUGCACAAUCUCUCUCGAUCUCUCUCCUGUCUAGCUAGUAUAAGGCCCUGUUUAGUUCCCCACCUAAAAAUUUUUCAUCCAUCCCAUCGAAUCUUUAGACACAUGCAUUGAACAUUAAAUGUAGAUAAAAAAAAAAUAAACUAAUUACACAGUUUAGUUGAGAAUCGCGAGACGAAUCUUUUAAGCCUAGUUACUCCAUGAUUAGCCUUAAGUGCUACAGUAACCCACAUAUGCUAAUGAUAGAUUAAUUAUGCUUAAUAAAUUUGUCUUGCAGUUUCCUGACGAGCAAUGUAAUUUAUUUUUUUAUUAGUUUCUAAAAACCUCUCCCGACAUCCUUCCGACAUAUCCGAUGUGACACUCAAAAAAUUUUCAUCCCCAAUCUAAACAAGCCCUAAAUAUGGUAUAGGUCAGAAAAAAAACAAAAGAGCAAGAAGAGAACAAAAUGAAGAUAUACUCACAUAGUUUCCUCCCUCUCCCUCAUCAUAACCUUAUGAUGUGAUGUCCAAUCAGCACCUUAUCAUAAUGUGGUGCCCAAUCAGCAGUCUACAUCAUAUCGGCACAACAAGGGUUGUGUUACAGGGCAUAUAUGAGCUGAGUGUCUCAUUCCCCGGCCCCCAUCCUCUCUCUCUCUCUCUCUCUCUCUCUCUCUACACAAUGGCCGUACUAGCAGGCAGACAAACAUUGAAACGGUUCUGUCCAUAGUAAAAAGGAAAGAGGUUUGAAGAGGAAAUUCAAGAGAAUGAAUGCAUUCAAGUUUUCCAUGAAUGCAAUGCCAGUGGCUAGGGACAGCAGUGCGCAAUAACGUGUCCUCCCAUCCUGUCCCUCCCUCUCUCUCUUCUAUUCCCUUCUGCGCAUUCAAGUAGUAGUAUCUAUCUUGCCCUCUUCCAAAUAAGAUAUCUGUAAAGAUUUAUCUGCAUGUAAGGGCUUCCAAAUCCCCACUAGUAUACAUAUAUAUGACCAUACUAAUUAAUAAAAUGUGACGUCUCACACAUGCAAGUGUUAUGCAUUUUAAUAUCUCUAUGAUGCCAUUUUAGCUGUCGACUAUUUCAUCUCACUACCAUUGUAACCUCCAACAUGGUUCACUUCACUACUACUAUACAUAUAUGAUUUUUACAAACACGUCCUAAUUUUUUGAGGGGGUGCUUAACUUAGCAAACCAUUCCUAACUAGUUCCGAGAGCAUUGUAGCUUACAAAUAAACUAUCCAUGGAAAUAUAUUUUCAGGGCCACUCUUAUAUAUCCAUUUUCAGGGGCACUCUUAUAUUUCCAUAUGGAUGAAUCUGAUGUAGGCAAGAGCAAGCUAAAGAGGGUGAAAACAGUACAUUAGAACACAAAAUACUUCUUCAGGCCAUUCACAUUUCAAUUGUUGGCUCGGCCUUUCUGUUCUGUCGUAGAUCGUUUCUCCCUUUGUGGAAGAACCAAAGUUGAUGCCAAACCGAGUGAAUUAAGCCAAUAGUGAAGCCACAAUGUGUCCACAUCUGAUUGUUAACACGCCAGAUGGAGCUAGCAGUGUACAGUACUUACAAAUGAGAUGUGUGUGUGUGUGUGUGUGUGGGUGGGGGGGGGGGGGGGGUGUUGUGGAAGGUAGUCAGCAUGAAACCAUUUUUUUGAACAAGAAAUUCAUGAUCAUAUUUAUACAAAAGAACUUUCAAAUUUGAAUGCGAUGUGUUGUACGUCUUCUAAUACAAAAUCUACUACACACUUGGCUAUCUUUUUGAUAUAAUAUCGCAAGAUUUGAAUCUUUGAAUGUGUGUGUCCAUGCUUUAUAAAAGAGAAAUAGGGAGCAAUGUGUAUGGAUAAACUUUUCAAAAACUAUACCAAAUUAGGAGAAAUUAUGUGACUUUAUCUAUGAAGAAAUAGACACCAAAAUUCACAUGAACAAGGACUUGAUUGAACCCCAGUGGUCUCUAGGCUUAUUACAUCCACACUCUCAACUAACUAGGUUAGCUACACUCUCAACUAACUAGGUUAGCUAGGAUGUUUGUAAAUGUAAUAAAAAAUGUGUAAAUAUCCUCAUUUAAGUUUAGUAGGAUGGAAUAUCUGUGCAUGCAUGCAAUUUACAUGAGCUCUCUCCCAGCAUGGAACUAUAUCUCUUUCUAAACUUAAUAAUAAAGAGUGAAAUUCUUUUCUUCAGUCUCUCACUCUCUCCUCCAUCCACCCGCCCCUCAUGUAGUCUCUCUUUUACUCACUGUCACCCUUCUUGCUUUGAGUUGGAGGUGCAAAACUUCCGUUGGUGCCACACCACUCAUGUAAUGGUCUAGCCGUCGGAGCCAUUCAUGUUGCGGCAUGCGUGUGAAUGGUGUGGUUCACUUUCCACCUUUUUAUCAACUUACUACAAGUGAAGCACACACAAUAAGGACAUAUUUAAGUUGAUUUAAUCCUCUCUGUCAUUUAUCAGACAAGAUUAAUUCCUGUUUUAUUACAACAUUAACAUUUAUAAUGGGCAUUAGAAUAUGUUGGGCUCCAAUAUAAUUAAACCCAACAAAAAUAUCUAACUCAUUAUCAUCGCCACAAAACGGCACAAUAAUUGUACAUUCCACUGCAAUGGUCAUGCUUGUUAGUAUCCCAAAGAAAGCCAAAGCUAGCAACCCUAAUUAACAUGCAACUUUUUUCUCUCCAUACAAAUUUAUAUUAACCUGCUGUUAGUUCAAAAGUUUGCAUCAACUUUUUUUUCACAUAGCUAGCCAGCUUUUACUUGUGGCAGAGCUUGUAAUUUAACUCUGUGCGCGACCACCGCCAAUUUAUUUCCCAUGGUCAGUAGUAAGACUGUAGCUAGCACUGGUGCCGUUGGUCAAAGAGGAUCACUGCAAAGCUCUGGCCGUUUUGAUGUGCACCAAUUUGUCUCUCACACGCUCCCUUUCUCUGUCGGCCCGCCUUCAUUCAUCUCUCGCUCAUUACUGCAUGCAUAUAUGCGUUGUUGCUUUCACAUACGAUCGACCAUUGGAUCGGCAGCUGCGCAUGCAUGGCUGUCCAUGAUGCUCCCUAGCCCUAGCAGCUAGCUAGCUAGCUAGCUGGCUCUAUAUAACUGGAGGAUCUAGCCAGCUCCAGCUUCCAUCCCAGUCCCAUCCUCGUCCUAGCAAACCUCAAAGACAUAGACUAUACGAACACACGGCAUUUGGCAGCUGAUAGAUCGAGUUGUGUGUGUGCGUGUGUGGGAGAUUGCCUGCGAGCUACAUACAUCAGUAUCUGCAGUAUGUCUAUCUAGCUAUAUUUCCCAGCAAUAUUUUUAGCUCAUGACAGGCUCUGCUGAUCGUUGCAUAUAUGAUUUGCAGGUAGCUAGCUAGAACAACUUCUUAGAACACAUAUAUAGCUAGCUGUCGUCGUUCUGCAGUUAGCACACACACAACCAAGCUACCUAGGAUCGAGAUAGCUAGAGGCGUUGAAUCCAUUGAUCGAAUCGCGAUCCGAUCCAUCCGAGCUAGCAUUAGCAAUAGCAUCGCCGUCCACAUGCCGCAGACACCUUCGACCCGCUGGUGCCCGACGCCGGAGCAGCUGAUGAUCCUGGAGGAGAUGUACCGGAGCGGCGUGAGGACGCCCAACGCGGCGGAGAUCCAGCAGAUCACGGCGCACCUGGCCUACUACGGCCGCAUCGAGGGCAAGAACGUCUUCUACUGGUUCCAGAACCACAAGGCCCGCGAGCGCCAGCGCCUCCGCCGCCGCCUCUGUGCCCGACACCAGCAGCAGUACGCUCAGCAGCAGCAGCAGCAGGCCACCGCAGCAGCGCCGUCUUCGAGCCCUCUUCCGUCUCCAGCAGCAGGCGGCAGCAGCGCUGGUGUGCAUCCGGCGGUGAUGCAGCUGCACCAGCACCACCACCCAUACGCAACCAACUUCGUGCCACACCUGGUUAGGAAUUUUAAUUGUUCACGUUCCAGUAUUAUUCUAGCUAAGAAUCUUCAAAGUAUCAAUUUUAAUUUUGCAGAAGCUUGCUAUAAUUGCAUGCUUGAUAAUGUAUCUAUAUGUCCAUAUGUUAAUCAAUCGAUUAUUAGGGCUACUUGGGACAGCAGGCGGCGACUGUUCCGCCAGUGCUGAACCCAGCUGCUGCCGGCAUGGUGGACCUUGCAGCUGCAGGAGCAGGAGCAGGAAAUAAGGCUACUGGUGCAGGUGGUGGCUAUGGAGGUGGAGCUGCCUUAUACAACAGCUGCAGCAGCAAUCAGCUGGAGGAGUGGGACCCCGCUGAGGCCAUGGAGCACUGCAACGCUAGCUGCGGUGCCGCAUCGGGCAGCUCCGACGAGGGUGGCGCAGCUCAUCUCCAGCUGCCGCCAUGCUGCCGCCGCCCUCUCAAGACCUUGGACCUGUUCCCCACUAAGAGCACUGGGCUCAAGGACGAGUGCAGCAGCUCCAAGUCCUCCUCUUGCUCCACAUCCACCAACUAAUUAAUCAUUAUUAUUGAAUCCCUUUAGUUUCUAUAUAUCUUGCUUCUAGUAGUUCUUUGAUUUGCUAGCUAGCUAGCUAGAGUUAGUAGAUUUGGUCUUCUCAAGUGUGCCAUUAUAUUGUUGUGUUGUGUGUGCUCGCAAAAAAAUUGUUGUGUUGUGUGUCACGCUACCUCUACUUUGCUUGUUAGUGUAACUACGUUUAAGUUUCAGUGCUCGACUUCAAUCUAUGUGUAUCUAUCUUAAUUCAUGCAAUGGAUUUGUUUUAGCAGACUGUGACCUAUAUGCUCCAUUUACUCAAUAGCGAUGAGCGAAUGAACGGAUCGGAUGACUUAUAAUAUAUGGCUAUAUAUGGUUUACCUUCUUCCUCUUCUCUAGUGAUGAUUCCUUUAUUAUUGAGAGUAUAUAAAGUCUAGUCGUUAUCUUCUCCUAAAGUUAAUUGCAAUGUGAAGGGAUGAAGACUAAGAAAUUGCCACAUCAACUCAGAUUAUUCAUGCAACUCCAUAAGCAUGCACUGGACAAUGAUUUUUUUGAGUCAAGAGUGUAUGUGAAUAAAUCCCCACACACCACAACAUUUCAAAGGAAAAAAAAGACUUGCCACUUGCAUGGGAGUGCUAAUCAUUCCUUUGAAUAAGAAAUACAUUUUAUUAGGAUGUGGGAGUUCUAAUCAUUAUUUUGAAUCAACCAUACAUCACCAAAAGCGGCAUUUCUCAAUUAUCAGGACUCAAGGAUGUAAGGAUGUGCUUCAGUCUCCCACCAAAUUUCAGAAUAUUUUGACAAAAUUUGAGUAUUCCUUCCAAAUUUUCAUAUGAUCGUAAAAUUUAUCCACAUACUUUCAAAUUUCUAAAGCUCUAAUAAUUUUAUUAAUACAAAUAUUAUUUUCGCAAUUGUUUCAAAUGAAAACAAAAUAAUGCCACUCCAUUAGCCUUGGUCGAUUUUAGUCCAUUUUGUUCCAUCCUCCGUCAUACCUUGUUUCAGCCCAUGCACCUUCUCAUUCCUUCACGGCUGAAAUGAGACAGGAGAGAGGAGGUAAAGAAAUUGGUUGAAAUCAGCACAAUGCUAAGGUAUUUUAUUUAUUUUUGAUUAAAAAUAAUUACUUCUUGAGCUCUAAAACGUAUAAGAACAUUUCAAAGUACAUUUAGGACAUGAAUAACUUGGAAAGUAUGCAUGUGCAACCAUGAUUACUAAGAAGAAUAAACAAUCCACCAUUCAUGACUCUGUUUAAUAGAUUUACAUAUCAAUGUAAAUUCUAUAAAUAAUUUAGUAAUUUAUUAUUUUUUAUGUUGCAGAAGACAUGUGUUUAUAGUUAGCACUGAUUUCUUGCAGCGACAAUUUACAUAAGAAACCAGCUCUAACUAGAAUAGGGAGCACCGUAGCUCAUGGUCACUUCAAAUCCAUUUGUAGGGGUAGUUUCUUUAAGAAAACUGUACCCUAAAAAAUAAUUUCUAGGUCUUAUGAGUGAAACAACGCUAGAAAUUUCUAGGGGUGUUUCUCUUAAUAGAACUGCCCCUAAAAAAUAAUUUAGAGGACUAGUCCAUUAUCUUAGUGAACCAUCCCUGAAAACUUCAUAUAAAUCCUCCUUUCUUCCUUGCAACAACUCUAUAUAUCACUAGGAGGCGGUGAUGCUUAAGUACUAGUUUUUUUUGACAACAUACAUGUUGAUAUUGUGGAUUGCUUGUUUUGGGAUGCCAUUUCAAUUUUUUCAGUAUCUUUUCUGUCUUAGCAGAAAGUUAGGAGAUCUUCAAUAGCAGUUGUAUGAAUAGCUAUGUUGUUAAGAAAUUGUUCCAACAAGAUGAGAUCAUCAUUCCUUCUCAAAGUUAAAGUCAAAAAUUCUCCCAGAGAGGAUAGAAAUACAUAUAAUAUUUUAGGAUCUGUUGGAUAAAGCACAACUCAUAAAAACUUACUAGAAAAGCAAGCCCAUGAGCUUGAACUUGAAAUUAUGGUUUGAACAGCACAACUCAUAGAUUAAAUUUCUAGAUUGCAUUAAGAAUUACAACUUUGGUACAGGCCAUGUUGACAUCCGAUGUUGAUUGAAAAUUCUAAACUAUAAAUUUCAAAAUUUGAGAGCUACAAACAAACUUUCUUAGACUCUAAAUAGUUUCAGUAAAAAGUUAUCAUAUAUGAAGUGGUAGAUUACGUCAAGCCCUGUAAUUUUGCUAUAAAGCUCAUCUUCAUCCAACUUCAUAUUAAAAAGUUUUAAGUUUUGUCAAACAAUAAUUUCUAAAUAUGGGCCACUUAAGAGUGCUACAUCAAUUAAUUGAUCUCUACAGCUGGCAUUAUUAGGAAGCUACUAUGUGAAAAUAACCAAUGAUAGGUGUGUGUUUGCCUAGGGACUCUAUGUACAUCUCAGUUAAUCAUGGCAUAUAUCUUCUAAAAUUACUUUGUAGUAAUGCUCGUGGUGUUGUUUCACUGAUGUUGUCUAGCAUAUGGGCUGGUUUGACCCUCUUGCAAUGGUUCAUCACUCGAGCUAGUCAUUUGUCUAGGGUGGACCAUGGAAUAUGGUGAAUUGGUGAGUGAUUUUUCUAGAUAUAAAGGAAACUUUAGUUUGAGAUGAAACAUUAUUGUGACCUCUGCUUAAGCUAGCUAUACACAACUAAAAUAAAAGAAUAAAAAUGAUAACAUGCAAGAAGAGUUUGACUCCACUAUUCUCUAAGCAAACUUAGAAUCUCAUACUCAACAUCCAGCUCAAACCACCAAUAUAACAAAUCUACAAUCUAACUUUUGAGAAAUUAAAGCUUAACAUCUUUGCAUCUAUUUGAAUGUAACAUGAAGUGAGGUGGUCAAAGUCCACAAAAGCUUUAUCAUCCUCUUGCAAAAGAAGUUGAUAUGCAUCAAAAGCAUCUCACAUGUAUAUGAAGUCCACUAGGUGUCCUCUAUUAACUAACCAACCAACAUGUAGCACAUGACUAGCAAUCACAAAUGAUGACUGAUAUGACUAGACAAAAUGAUCGUCAUUCAAUUGAGCCAUAGUUAGCUUCUUUCACAAGCCACAACAAUUUGGACUAUCUGCACAUGUGCUCAAGAUACCACUAGGAGAAGAUGUGUUGCUAAUAACACCUAAGGUCUCUCCCAAUGCAACACUUCCCUUGAGGAAAAGACAUCCAAGGAUAUCAUCAUUGCAUGACCGAUUGAAAGUUAUAGAGUUUUCUCUUAGAGACAUCCACACCCAAGUAGGAUUGUGAACACAUUAUGGAGAUGUGUCAUGUGUGUGAUGAAUGAUUGACACAAAUAUGAGAGGUUUGAGGCUUUCUUUGCUGAGUCAUAUUUCAUAUGUACUUGAUUAUGUUAAUGGUUAACCAGAGGUGUAUAGUGUGUUGUGUUUUGUUGUGCAACAUGUCUCUUGGCUUGUAAUGUGUAAGUGCUGAGAGCGCCAAGACGGUCGACAACAAUAGAGAAGGUCAAGUGUAAAGUCCAUGUGUGAUUGGUCGGGAGUGGUGAAGGACGGAUGAGAAGGCAUGGAUCAAGGGACUAGAGGCUAGAGGACAGACAAUGUGCAACUUACACUAGGCACAUGAAGAGCAAUAGUACAUGGGGAGACAACAUCAACCAAGUCAAGGAGGAGGAUGGUGUUGUGGCACUUGGCAAAGGUCAAACACGCAUCUACAUGGGUGAUGGACAUGGUGUCAGUCAAGUCAAUAAGGAAGGCAAAGGAAAGAGCUUGGCGGAGGUUGAACACAUGUUGAAAAAUCAUGGAGUCAUGCUUGGUGAGGUGUGCAUGAGGGUUUGCUAGUUUUGUCCUCAAAACUAGGGAUGGAGAGUUUGCUUGUUUGGACCUUGUUGAUAUUUCUUAACAUCAAGUUGUCAUCCCUAGCAAUGAUGCCAUAAAUGUCUUAUUGGUAUUUAUUCGUUUUCACUUGUAAUUGAGGAAACAUUAAAGUAAUCCGCAAGCACACAAAUUAUAUAUCAUUGUAGCAUUUCACCCAGGAGUAUUCCAUGUAUCGUUAUUUAUAUUUUUACCACAGGGAAUGACGGGCAAAGAAAUUAUAUUGAUAACUAAUAUUCUACUCACAACAUGGGUAAGAUAGAAAAUAAGAUAUAUAAAAGGCAAUGAUCAUUGACAAUAAAUAGUUAAUCACUCAGAGCACUCCUUUCUAUGGCAUUAGCAUGACUAAGUAGAUAUUAGAGAGACAAUUCCUAAGUCAUCCUUAAUUACAAUUCAAUGCAUAUGAUGAUUAGUGCAACUACACUUAGUAGUCAUGGAUAAGAUCAACUUUAUAUCUACACAUAAGGGAUAUUACUAAGGAAGAUUAAGAAUAGGGCAUGUCUUCCUUUGUAACUAGAUCCUACUUGUUGACCUAUAUUCGGGGAGUGGACUACAUAGGACUCAACAGGAGUGUCACAUCCGUGAUGUAAAAUAUAGGGUGUAUCCAUUGGUAAACAAUGUAUAAGCACCACGCUUACAUAAUAUCGACCACUCACACCAUGAUCAUUAGUGUGAGUGCUAUAUGAACUUAUGCUUGAAUAAAAUGAUCAUCUAGCUAUACUAAGUAUAUAAUCAAAGUAGACAAUGAACAUGAUAAUUAGGAACAUGAAUGAUAUUAAGAACAAUAUCAUACCAAUUGUAGCAAACAUAAAAAAGUAAUGAGACAUACAAAAGAGAGGGGGUACAAAGGCUAUACCAAGCCACACUCUUGACACGAUCAGGAAUCUAGGCAAAGCUUGCAUCUCUCUAGAUCUAACCUAGCUAGGUAUGCCCUAGAAUAUGGUGUAGUUUUGAGGAUUAGGGUUUCUGCCUUCUGCUUCUAACUUGAAUGGCUUGAAUGCCUGAGAGAGGGGGUAGGGGCUAUUAGAUAUACCCCAGAGCAUCAAUUCUUAGCUCUCAGAUCGUACAGACUUGAAAGAACAAUGUAGAUGCAACCUAGGAGGUGGUGGAGAACUGACAUAACAAGAUAGAGUCCGAUAGGUGGGCCUAGAGGUUGGCGAAGCUUAGAUGGGACUAGCCGACCCCACCUAGAGGUGUCUCACUAUCUUCUUUGGUGGUUUGGCUUCUGGUGUCCUCUGGAACCUUCUAGAGUUCCACCUUGACGGUUUUCUAGAUAUCCCUAUAGAAAAUACAUUCACCAAACUCUUGGAAUUUGUUAGUUUAAACCCCUAAGUCUAUGUUGGUGAUUAUUUUCAUGCAUUCUCCAAGUUAUAUUAAUAGUUUAUAAUGGUUGUUGACUACCAUCAAUAGACCUCAAAGCCAUCAGAGGAGGGUUUGCUAGUUUGGGACUCAAAACCAGGCAUGCAUGGUUGGAUGGUUUGUGCCUCAAACCAUCAGCGACGGAUUUGACUGGUUUGAGCCUCAAAAUAGGGGAGUGGAGGAUCAAUGGACAUGUGGUGGAGUCUCAAAAGCUGGCUUCAAGGCAGAGCAGAGUCGACAAGGCAUCAGGUCUAUUACUCUAUGUAAUACCCGAUUUUAAGGAUAAAACCACAUAUGCACCAUAUGCGAGUUUUAUAAGGCAAAUCUCACAUAUAGUUACAAAUAAGGGGUAAUAUCAAAAGACAAUGCAUAAAACAUAUAACGUACAUAAUAUAAAAGAGAUAACCUUUGAUAGCAAACAGCGGAUAUACAACUCUAAACUUCAGGUAUUAACUCUUCUCCACAGGAUCCAACUGACUGGUUGAUCACAAGCCCAAAACUUCUCCUGAGGUGUGGGGAAAAUUGCAAGAGUGAGCACAUAUCGUACUCAACAAGUAUAACCAGGGGUUCAUGAGGCUCAGUUAGCUGACACUGGUUUAACUGCAUUUAGCUUUUAUAUGUAGAUAGCAUAUUUAAUCAUUGGAUAGCAAAUAUCAAGGUAGCAUAUUAAAUCCCAUAACCACAUGAUCAAUGUAUACAAGAAUUAAGAAUAACACAAAUAAACAACAUAAUAAACCAUCAUUUAUUAUCAUUAAUCAUGUUCAUCAGUGUCCAUCUAUUCCGUCAGUUUUCCGGGCCGCCCGUAUCCGUGGGCACGACUAGUAUACCAGAUUUAACACUCUUCAGAGGUUGUACAUCUUUACCCAUGAGUCAUGAUUUACCCUUUCGCCCGAGGCCCGUCGACCUCUUAGCUCACUUUCAAGGAAAGCCGGCAGGGUUCACUAUGAAGUCUUUCAAAGGUUCGUCUAACAAGUUAGGACCGCAAGGUUUCCUUUGCGCGCAAAUAUAGAUACCCCCCUUCCAAAUGGCACAAUGACGCGCAGCCUAUACACAUAAGGACAGGGGCUCGCACUAUACCCAAAACGGUUCAGCCCCUCCGCCCUUUCGGGUAACCUCUAACAAGCUAGAAAAGCUUACUCAUACUUGACUAAAGCCAGAGCCAUAUAGCCCUCAUGGUUGUACGAGUUGUCUCAGCUUUUGCCAAGGGAUAAGUCCUUAUGGAGGGUCAAGAUCAAUCCAGCAAAAGCCAGAGUUCUUUCCACCCUUUAUGUUCAAGUUGCUAGAAAGCUUAUUUUAUCGUUUAUGGUAUAUUCAAAUAUUCAUGUUACAAGAUCAUGGAUUAAUAAUCAAGCACUAGCAAGAACUACCCAAAUACAUAUCCAAAUAGGUAACAAGGAAUUCAUGAUAAUAAUCAUCUAUGAUUUUACUAGGGUCAUCAAGGUGGACACAUGCAUAUGAUAAAUGUUAUAUUAAUUGUGUAUAGGUAACAAGGAUAGUCCCAAGUUAUACUUGUCUUGAUCAAAGCUCUCCUGAGCCUGCUGCUGGUCGUCAAAAGCUUGACCUUGAUCACCAACUUAUCACUCACCGUCUAUACUCGAUCAUCGAUCAACAACACGCAAUCCAAUGUAGACAAUCAUACACGAAGCAAACAAGCUAUAAUUAGAACAAUACACCAAACAUUGGUAAAAUAAAUAUAAAAGUUUACCAAAAUAUUCUACGCAGCGCUACGAUCACACAAACAUAAAGUUCACGAAAAUCGGAAUUAAAACGGUGAAGUUAUGAAUUUUCCAGGAUUUUCUAUAGAUAAAUAAUUAAUUAAAUGCUACUGCAAAAUUAAAAAGUUUCAAAAUAGAGAAUAAAUACUUCUAACAUGUAGAGCUCGUAAAUACGCGAAAUUUGAAUGGAUGAAAACGGAGUUAAAAUGAGUAUUUUAUGACCAAAUCAAUUUCAAUGGCAAAACUGUAAAUAACAGAAAACGUAAUCUGCCUAAGCCGAACCAGAAUACGUUUUUAAACGGAGAAAGCGUAUUCUGCGCAAGCCGCCAAGGACUGCGGAGUAAAUACUGAAAAGUUUCAGGGAUUCUUUAUGAAGUUUCGCAGCGAAGGGGUAUGCUUUGUUUUGGGCCCUUGAUCCCAAAACGGAUGGCUGGCAGACGAUCUGGGGAAGAGAGGGGGGGGGGGCGGCGACGACUGGCCGGAACAGUCUUCCACGGCGGCGCCAUUGGAGCGCCUCGCCGGAGCUCGCGCUGAGGCAAUUUCUAGCACCAGGGAACAAGGGAAAAGCAUCAGGGGGUGGAGGAGCUCACCACGAAUCCUCCUAGGGACUUCACUUGGGCCGAGAGGGAGCAGGGAGAGCUCACCGCGGCGCCGUUUGGAUUAGAGCUCAGCGAGAUCUAACUGAGCGUCGGGAAGGAGCUAAAACCGAUCUCGGUCCUUUGUAGAUGGAAAAAGGAAUGCGUUGAGGGAAAGCCAAGGCUAAAUAGGGCUCGGGAAAAUCAAAUCCCAUGGAAACCGGGAUUUGAGGCAGAGCCUUCUUCGGCUUGGAGCCUUGGAGUCCCAGCCGCCCACGGUUCACGGAAGAAGAAAAGGGAAUGGAGGAGGAAGACGAUGUCGCGUGGGGCCCAGUCGUCAGCGAGAGAGAGAGCGGGUCCCAGUUGACAGCGGAACAGAGGAAAGGUGUAACACCCAAAAUUUGAUUUUCAAAUAAUAGGAUUUAAUUUAAUUUAUUUAAGUACUUUUGUGGGCAUAGAAAUCUAGCAACUAAAUAAUUGUGUGGGAAUUAAAAUUCAGUAUAGGUUUAGCAACCUUGAUUGAGCAUUCAUGCUGGAGCAUCUUUAUUUAUUUGUGCUGCUGGUAUAUGUUGGAUUUUAUUUGCUCUCAAAAUUUGAUUUUAAAAGGCUUUGGAAAAUUAAAAAAAAAAGAAAAAAAAAACAGCCGGACUCGGCUUGGUGGCCAAUUGGCCGUGAGGCCCAAACUGGCCAGCAGCGCGCGCACUCCCUCCCUCUCCCUCCUUUCUUUGGCUGACGGUUGGGGCCCCCACGUCAGCGCCCUUUCCUUCUUCCUCCCUGCCGUGCUCGAGCAGGAAACGAUUCCUCACCGAAUCGGAUCCGCGGAUCCCGCGAUUUCCUUGCCAAGCGCGCAAUCCGACCACUAUAAAGCUUCUAGCAUCGCUCCCUCGACAUGUUUUCGCAUCUAGGUCGCCAAAACCGAGUCCCCGUGCCUUGUUUCGCGAGUUCUGGAUCUCGCCGGGAGCUCUUUCCGCCGCCGCGCGUGGACACGCCCCUCUGCUAGCUCUCGGCCCGAGCCAAGCCCCCAGCUUCGUUCGCGGUGAGCUUCUCGCCCUCCCGGUAUUUUCCUUUCAAAAAACGGUGCUCGGAAAGGAGAAGCCGAGGAGCUCCGGCGAGUUUUCGCUCUCCGGCCAUGGCGGCCACCGCAUCGGACAGGGAGAGGCCAGCCGGCCACCGCCAAGGACCCCAGGAGCAGCUCGUGACCAUCCAACCGACGAUCAACGGCCGAGAUUAGAACAUACCUGUUCGCAGGGAAUUUUCAUAAAGAGUCCCUGGAAAGAGUGGUUAAUUACCCCGCGGUCCCUGGCGCCCUGGCACAGAUUACGUUUCCUUUGAUUGAAAGCGUAUUCCUGUCUGUUCAACUUGGUUUAUGUUUUCAGCUAAUUACAGAACUGCCACUGAACUUAGAUAGCUUAUAAAAUAUUCAUUUUAACUCUGUUUUUGUCCAUUCAAAUUGCGUUAGGUUCGUAAUUAUAUGCUCUACAUGAUAGAACUAUUUAUUCUCUGUUUUGAAACUUUUUAAUUUUCUGGUACUAUUUAAUUAAUUAUUUCUCUAUAGGAAAUCUUAGAAAAUUCAUAUCUUUCACGUUUUAAUUCCGAUUUUCGUGAACUUUACGUUUGUGUGAUCGUAGCGCUGCGUAGAAUAUUUUGAUAAACUUUUAUAUUUGUUUUACCACUGUUUGGUGUAAUGUUCUAAUUAUACCUUGUUUGCUUUGUGUAUGAUUGUCUCCAUUGGAUUGCGUGUUGUUGAUUGAUGUUUGGGAAUAGACGGUGAGCUGUACGUUGGUGAUCAAGACCAAGCUUUUGAGGACCAGCAGGCUCAGGAGAGCUUUGAGCAAGGCAAGUAUAACUUGGGACCAUCCUUGUUACCUAUUCACUUAUAACUACAUAUAUAUAUCAUAUGCAUGCUACCACCUUGAUGACCGUAGCAAAAUCAUAGCUGAUUGUUAUCCUGAAUUCCUUGUUACCUAUUUGGAUAUGCAUUUGGGUAGUUCUUGCUAGUGCUUGAUUAAUAAUCCAUGAUCUUGUAACAUGAAUAUUUGAAUAUACAAUAAACAAUAAAGUAAGCUUUCUAGCAACUUGAAUAUAAAGGGUGGAAAGAACUCUAGCUUUUGCUGGAUUGAUCUUGACCCUCCAUAAGGACUUAUCCCUUGGCAAAAGCUGGGACAACUCGUACAACCAUGAGGGCUAUAUGGCUCUGGCUUUAGUCAAGUAUGAGUAAGCUUUUCUAGCUUGUUAGAGGUUACCCGAAAGGGCGGAGGGGCUGAACCGUUUUGGGUAUAGUGCGAGCCCCUGUCCUUAUGUGUAUAGGCUGCGCGUCAUUGUGCCAUUCGGAAGGGGGGUAUCUAUAUCUGCGCGCAAAGGAAACCUUGCGGCCCUAACUUGUUAGACGAACCUUUGAAAGACUUCAUAGUGAACCCUGCCGGCUUUCCUUGGAAGUGAGCUAAGAGGUCGACGGGCCUCGGGCGAAAGGGUAAAUCAUGACUCAUGGGUAAAGAUGUACAACCUCUGCAGAGUGUUAAAUCUGGUAUACUAGCCGUGCCCACGGAUACGGGCGGCCCGGAAAACUGACGGAAUAGAUGGACACUAAUGAAUAUGACUAAUGAUAAUAAAUGAUGGUUUAUUAUGUUGUUUAUAUGUGUUAUUCUUAAUUCUUGUAUACAUUGAUCAUGUGGUUAUGGGAUUUAAUUAUGCUACCUUGACAUUUGCUAUCCAAUGAUUAAAUAUGCUAUCAACUAUUAAAAGCUAAAUGCAGUCAAACCAGUGUCAGCUAUUUGAGCCUCAUGAACCCCUGGUUAUACUUGUUGAGUACGAUAUGUGCUCACUCUUGCAAUUUCCCAACACCUCAGGAUAUGAUAAUGAAGGUGACUGGAAUGAGGAUUAUCGUUAUGAGUACUAGGUUUGGAGUCAACCAGUCAACAGUGUCCCUGUGUGGAGCUUCCGUCGAGAGCGUUGUUUAAUAUUAUUAUCAUUUUUGUGUAAGACUAUGUGAUUUAUUAUGUUCCGCUAUGUAAUAAACACUGCAAUGGUACAAUUGAGAUUUGUCUACUUAUGUGUGCGACUAUUCCUGGGGCACAUAUGAGUCUUUUAUGCAUCCUAUUUUGUUCUUAAAAUAUGGGUGUGACAAAUUGGUAUCAAAGCUUUGUUGACUGUAGGACGCAAACCUAGUUAGCAAAGGGUCAAAAAUUUAGGUCCUUACUUUACUUACUUCAUGCUUCCCACUAUGGUCUUGUUAUUUGCUAAAAGUUUAUGCUUCUCUAUCUUGCUCUAUUGUGAAAUUAUUGCAUCCAUCUGAUCUAUGUCUAAAAACUUUUUGUAGAUGCCGCCUCGUACCCGCAGUGCUGCACGCAUGGCUGCUGAGGAGUACCGUGCCAUGUUCAACCUAGGAGGACAACGUGUGGAUGGAGUUCCUGAGCUGGAGGAUGAGGAAUCAAGGGUGGAAGCUCAGGAGGAAGGACCUGAGGAUGAGGAGAUGCAAGAUCUACCUCCACCACAGUCUGCUAAUGCAAGGAUGGGAUGGACUACUGAGCUGUGGAUUCCAGAAGCAGAUCCCAAGGCCUUCUUCCAUGAGAAUUUGGUGUUAACAUUGAAACACCAUUACCCGGAUUUGCAAGCCACACUGGAGUAUAACUGCACUGAGCACAAACACCCGCUGAGGAGAUCACUUUGGGUUGCAGAGCUGAUAGUCAAGACACUGGAUGCCACCAAGGGGAUUCGAAAGGUGGAAUCAAAACACAUCGCUCGAAUCAGCCGGGACACGAUGAGAGAGAGCAUGGCAGAUGCAGCUUACCAGGCCUUGGUCUUUUACCGUGGUAGACGUUUUGAGGAUGUUCAGUAUAAUGCAACAUACCACUAUCCUCGCUUUGUACCAGAGAAGAUGACUUGGGCCAUAGAAGUUGCAGAUGCUUCACAACCAAAGCUUCAAGCACAAGUGGAGUUGACUUAUGAGCUGACACUCAAGGUGAUAGAGUUGGAGAAUGAACUACACCGUGAGAGGAAGCUGUUGGAGAAAGAGCAAAGGGAAGCGGAUGACCUUCGAGCGGAGUUAGGCCGCCCCAAACUUCAUAAGAGGCUGCAUGUUGAACCCAUCUUGAAGGAUGCUGCACCCGAGGAAUAGAAAAGAACCCAUAUGUAAUAGGAACGUUAGUAGUUUACGAGUAUUUCGAGUCUUUUGCUAUUGUGGCAUGAACUUGGUGUGCUUGCUGAUUUGUUAUUAUGAAUAUGUGUGAUUUGGAUUUUUGUAAUGAGUGCUGGGACUUUGUGGGCAUGUCCACAAGUUCCCUAGUUAAGAACCUUAAGUAAGAACAUGAAUAAAUAGUGGGUUGGGGUCAUAUCCUGUUUCUGUCUUUUGCUGUUUUCUGGAGCAGUCUGCAAUGAUUCUGGAAUAAAUCAAAUUCUGCUCGUGCAAUGUUCAUCAAAUUUUUCUGGGAAAAAGUAGACUUUCAUAUAUUUCCAAUGCCGCCAGAAUGACCAUAUUAUCUAUUAUGAGCUGUGAGUUAUGACUGUUUAAAGUUGAGGUUUCUGCGCAGUCUGGAAUUCUGGAACAGUUUCGGUUGUACCCAGUUUUUGGUUAACCUCACGUUGGAAUCUGGUAAUAUGACCUAAAUGAAAGUUGUAGACAAUUUCUUUAUCUUUCCAACGAUGUACAGCAUGUAUCCUUUUGAAUUCUGGAACUCGAGAUAUUACUGAUUUUCUGAUCUGCUGAUGUUGGAUGUUACCCAGAAAAUUUCAGACUCAGUUAACUCUUGUAAUUGUCAUGUUGGACAUUACUAAGAUGUGUUUAUAUACCUUGGAAUGCAGAUGGCAGCAAGGGGAAGAGGCAGAGGCAGAGGCCGUGGCAAUGGCAAUGACAAUGGCAAUGGUGGCAAUGCCCCAAUCACCGUGGAGGAACUCAUGCAAACCCAAAAUCAGAUGAUGCACGUUUUCAUGCAGCACCUGCAGCAACAACCUCCACCAACACCACCACCUGUUCAUGUGAGGGACAAGCGUGGAGAGUUUAUGAAGGGAAGACCUCCGGUAUUUACACACUCAGCUGAUCCCAUGGAGGCAGAUGAUUGGUUACGUGCUGUGGAGAGGCAGCUAAACAUAGCACAGUGCAAUGACUUGGAGAAGGUGUUGUAUGCUUCUGGACAGCUUCAAGGUGCAGCUCAGACAUGGUGGGAGUCGUAUCAAGCUGCUCGUCCCAACAAUGCUCCUCCUGUCACAUGGCUGGAAUUCUGUAGGGACUUCAGAGCUCGACACAUAAAUGAGGGAAUGAUGGAGCUCAAACAGGAAGAAUUCAGAUCACUCCGGAUGGGCUCCAUGACAGUGGCAGAAUAUCAUGACACGUUUGAACAGUUGGCUCGCUAUGCCCCGAAUGAAGUCAGGGAAGAUGCUGAUAAGCAACGCUUGUUCAUGAAAGGCUUGUACUAUGAACUCAGGUUGCAGUUGGCAGGAAACACUUAUCCUACCUUUCAAGCUCUUGUGAAUCGUGCUAUCGUGCUUGAUAAUAUGCGGAAGAGUCAGGAUAAGAAGAGAAGGAUGCUGGUACAAGGAUCUGGGAGCAACAACCGUCAGCGUUUCAGUUCUCAUCAAGGCCAUCAGCAGAGGUUCCAGGGACCAGUUAGUCAGUGGAACCGUAACCAGCAACCCCAGCGUUUCCAGAAUCAGUCGCAGAGUGGGAACCAACGUCCUUCAUUCCAACAACGUAACUACAAUCAACAGCAGCAUGGUCAGCAGACACCUCGCUCAGGAAACUCAAAUGCCAACUCCACAAAAAGAAGUGCUUCUAACACUCCUACCAGGUGUUUCCGUUGUGGGAAAGAGGGACACAUGUCAUAUGAUUGCCCGGAGAAGCUCAACAAGCCGAACAACAACCAGAAGUCUACUGCUUAUGCGGCAACAGUGAAUAAUGUGGCUACAGAGACAGUUCAGGAGGGACCAGAGAUCAUGAUGGGUACGUUCAGCAUCAACUCUAUCCCUGCUACAGUUUUAUUUGAUUCUGGAGCUUCGCAUACAUUCAUAUCACAAGCAUUUGUUAGAGUUCAUAGCCUUCCACUAGUUGCAAUGAAAACUCCUAUGCUAGUUAAUUCACCGGGUGGGACUAUACCAGUUUCUUUAUGUUGCCCCUCAGCAAGUCUUUCUUUAAGGGGGGUAGAUUUUCCUAUCAGUCCCAUGGUUAUGAGAACUUCAGGCAUAGAUGUGAUCUUGGGUUUGGAUUGGAUGAAGCAACAUGAAACAAAUAUUAAUUGCAAAGAGAGAGUAGUGGCUCUGACAACACCAAAGGGAGAACGAAUCAGUGUUAAUGUAACAGUGCAAGCACCACUCACAGCCAAGGUGAACCAACUGAAUGAAGAUGUUGAUCCUCAGAAUUUGGUAGUGGAUGAGUUUCCGGAUGUCUUUCCAGAUGAAUUGCCAGGUAUGCCACCUGACCGAGACAUUGAAUUUAUUAUUGAAUUACUACCUGGUACUGCACCCAUAGCUAAAAGACCAUAUAGAAUGGGGGUUAAUGAACUAGAAGAACUUAAGAAACAAAUUAAGGAAUUGCAAGAUAAAGGGUUCAUUCGCCCUAGUUCAUCACCAUGGGGUGCACCAGUUAUCUUUGUUGAUAAGAAGGAUGGUAGUCAGCGGAUGUGUGUGGAUUAUCGGUCACUUAAUGAGGUUACUAUCAAGAACAAAUACCCAUUGCCUAGGAUUGAUGACUUGUUUGAUCAACUAAGAGGUGCUUGUGUGUUCUCUAAGAUUGAUUUGCGUUCUGGUUAUCAUCAAUUGAAGAUUCGGAAUUCAGAUAUACCAAAGACAGCUUUCACAACAAGGUAUGGGUUAUAUGAGUAUACAGUUAUGUCUUUUGGUUUGACCAAUGCACCAGCUUACUUUAUGUACAUGAUGAAUAAAGUAUUUAUGGAGUAUCUUGAUAAGUUCGUGGUGGUCUUUAUUGAUGAUAUUCUGGUAUUCUCUAAAACCAAGGAAGAACAUGCUGAACAUCUGAGAUUGGUCUUACAGAAACUUAGAGAACAUAAGCUGUAUGCUAAGCGUAGUAAAUGCGAGUUUUGGUUGGAGGAAGUUUCUUUUCUUGGUCAUGUUGUCUCUAAUGGUGGUAUUGCAGUGGAUCCUAGUAAGGUGAAAGAUGUGUUGAAUUGGAAACCACCUACAGAUGUAAGCGAAAUUCGCAGUUUUCUUGGUCUAGCUGGUUACUAUCGUAGAUUCAUUGAAGGGUUCUCAAAACUUGCAAAGCCUAUGACUGCUUUGUUAGAGAAGAAUGCUAAGUUUGUAUGGUCUGAUAAGUGUCAAGCUAGUUUUGAGGAGUUUAAGAAGAGAUUGACUACUGCACCUGUGUUGGUAUUGCCAGAUCUGAGUAAGAGUUUCUCUAUCUAUUGUGAUGCUUCUCGUCUGGGUUUGGGUUGUGUUCUUAUGCAAGAAGGUAGAGUUGUUGCUUAUGCAUCCAGACAGUUGAGGAAACAUGAACUGAAUUAUCCUACUCAUGAUUUGGAGUUAGCAGCUGUGGUUCAUGCACUCAAGAUUUGGAGACACUAUUUGAUUGGGCAUAAAAGUGACAUAUAUACUGAUCAUAAGAGUUUGAAGUAUAUCUUCACCCAGACCGACUUGAACUUGAGGCAACGAAGAUGGUUGGAACUGAUAAAGGAUUAUGAUUUGGAAGUGCAUUAUCAUCCUGGGAAGGCGAACGUCGUAGCCGAUGCACUUAGCAGAAAGAAACAUGCUAAUGAGCUUCGGGCGACACCUGAAUCUGAAGAGUUGUGUGCUGAAUUUGCAUAUUUGAACUUGGGAAUCGUAGUAAAUGCUAUGGAGAUUGAGGUCACUCCUACUCUAGAGGAAGAGAUAUUGAAAGGACAGUUGGAAGAUGAGAAACUGAAGGAGAUAGCACAGAAUGUGGUACUAGGAAAAGCACCAGGAUUCAGAAUAGAUGACAAUGGUGUACUAUGGUUUGGAAAAAGGAUAUGCGUUCCAGAAGUGAAGGCUAUUCGUGAUAUGAUUCUGAGAGAGGCUCAUGAGUCAGCAUAUUCCAUUCAUCCUGGUAGUACUAAGAUGUAUCUAGAUCUGAAACAGAAGUACUGGUGGUAUGGCUUAAAGAGAGAUGUGGCCGAAUAUGUUGCUUUGUGUGAUACUUGUCAGCGAGUGAAGGCUGAACACCAGAGGCCAGCUGGACUAUUGCAACCAAUGAAGAUUCCUGAGUGGAAGUGGGAAGAAGUAGGCAUGGAUUUUAUAGUGGGUUUACCUCGUACACAGAGAGGAUAUGAUUCAAUAUGGGUAAUAGUGGAUCGAUUGACUAAAGUUGCUCACUUCUUGCCAGUCAAAACCACUAAUUCAGGAGCUCGACUAGCAGAGUUGUAUAUGGAGCGGAUAGUUUGUUUGCAUGGAGUGCCUAAGAAGAUUGUAUCUGAUAGAGGCACUCAGUUUACCUCUAUUUUUUGGAAAGCAGUGCAUGACUCAUUGGGAACCAAGUUGAAUUUCAGUACCGCGUAUCAUCCACAGACAGAUGGACAGACUGAGAGGAUCAAUCAGAUAUUGGAAGAUAUGUUGAGAGCUUGUGCCUUGCAGUAUGGGACUAGUUGGGAUAAGAGUUUGCCAUAUGCAGAAUUCUCCUACAACAACAGCUAUCAACAAAGUCUUAAGAUGGCACCGUUCGAGGCACUAUAUGGUCGGAAGUGCAGGACACCUUUGUUUUGGAAUCAGACAGGAGAAACUCAGGUGUUUGGUACGGAUGUGCUUAGACAUGCAGAACAACAAGUGCGAACCAUCCGGGAUAAUCUGAGAGUUGCUCAGUCUCGUCAGAAAAGUUAUGCAGAUACACGUAGGAGAGAACUAGCUUUCGAGGAAGGUGAUUAUGUCUAUCUAAAAGUGUCACCUAUGCGGAGUGUGAAGAGGUUUAAUAUGAAGGGAAAGCUAGCUCCAAGGUAUGUUGGUCCGUUUAAAGUUUUGCAAAGGUGUGGAGAAGUAGCGUAUCAGUUAGAGUUGCCUGAAAGUUUAUCUGGCGUGCACGAUGUGUUCCAUGUGUCACAACUCAAGAAGUGUUUGCGUGUACCUGAGGAGCAAUUACCAUUGGAAGAACUUUCUGUUAAAGGUGAUCUCACUUAUGAGGAGUAUCCGGUCAAAAUAUUGGAGACAGCUGAGAGAGUCACCAGAAGUCGGGUCAUCAGAAUGUGCAAAGUACAGUGGAAUCGACAUUCGGAAGCAGAGGCAACUUGGGAAAGAGAGGAUGAUCUGAGGAAGUCAUACUCAUAUCUAUUCGAGUAAGCACCGUUCAAUCUCGAGGACGAGAUUCUUUUAAGGGGGGUAGAGUUUGUAACACCCAAAAUUUGAUUUUCAAAUAAUAGGAUUUAAUUUAAUUUAUUUAAGUACUUUUGUGGGCAUAGAAAUCUAGCAACUAAAUAAUUGUGUGGGAAUUAAAAUUCAGUAUAGGUUUAGCAACCUUGAUUGAGCAUUCAUGCUGGAGCAUCUUUAUUUAUUUGUGCUGCUGGUAUAUGUUGGAUUUUAUUUGCUCUCAAAAUUUGAUUUUAAAAGGCUUUGGAAAAUUAAAAAAAAAAAGAAAAAAAAAACAGCCGGACUCGGCUUGGUGGCCAAUUGGCCGUGAGGCCCAAACUGGCCAGCAGCGCGCGCACUCCCUCCCUCUCCCUCCUUUCUUUGGCUGACGGUUGGGGCCCCCACGUCAGCGCCCUUUCCUUCUUCCUCCCUGCCGUGCUCGAGCAGGAAACGAUUCCUCACCGAAUCGGAUCCGCGGAUCCCGCGAUUUCCUUGCCAAGCGCGCAAUCCGACCACUAUAAAGCUUCUAGCAUCGCUCCCUCGACAUGUUUUCGCAUCUAGGUCGCCAAAACCGAGUCCCCGUGCCUUGUUUCGCGAGUUCUGGAUCUCGCCGGGAGCUCUUUCCGCCGCCGCGCGUGGACACGCCCCUCUGCUAGCUCUCGGCCCGAGCCAAGCCCCCAGCUUCGUUCGCGGUGAGCUUCUCGCCCUCCCGGUAUUUUCCUUUCAAAAAACGGUGCUCGGAAAGGAGAAGCCGAGGAGCUCCGGCGAGUUUUCGCUCUCCGGCCAUGGCGGCCACCGCAUCGGACAGGGAGAGGCCAGCCGGCCACCGCCAAGGACCCCAGGAGCAGCUCGUGACCAUCCAACCGACGAUCAACGGCCGAGAUUAGAACAUACCUGUUCGCAGGGAAUUUUCAUAAAGAGUCCCUGGAAAGAGUGGUUAAUUACCCCGCGGUCCCUGGCGCCCUGGCACAGAUUACGUUUCCUUUGAUUGAAAGCGUAUUCCUGUCUGUUCAACUUGGUUUAUGUUUUCAGCUAAUUACAGAACUGCCACUGAACUUAGAUAGCUUAUAAAAUAUUCAUUUUAACUCUGUUUUUGUCCAUUCAAAUUGCGUUAGGUUCAUAAUUAUAUGCUCUACAUGAUAGAACUAUUUAUUCUCUGUUUUGAAACUUUUUAAUUUUCUGGUACUAUUUAAUUAAUUAUUUCUCUAUAGGAAAUCUUAGAAAAUUCAUAUCUUUCACGUUUUAAUUCCGAUUUUCGUGAACUUUACGUUUGUGUGAUCGUAGCGCUGCGUAGAAUAUUUUGAUAAACUUUUAUAUUUGUUUUACCACUGUUUGGUGUAAUGUUCUAAUUAUACCUUGUUUGCUUUGUGUAUGAUUGUCUCCAUUGGAUUGCGUGUUGUUGAUUGAUGUUUGGGAAUAGACGGUGAGCUGUACGUUGGUGAUCAAGACCAAGCUUUUGAGGACCAGCAGGCUCAGGAGAGCUUUGAGCAAGGCAAGUAUAACUUGGGACCAUCCUUGUUACCUAUUCACUUAUAACUACAUAUAUAUAUCAUAUGCAUGCUACCACCUUGAUGACCGUAGCAAAAUCAUAGCUGAUUGUUAUCCUGAAUUCCUUGUUACCUAUUUGGAUAUGCAUUUGGGUAGUUCUUGCUAGUGCUUGAUUAAUAAUCCAUGAUCUUGUAACAUGAAUAUUUGAAUAUACAAUAAACAAUAAAGUAAGCUUUCUAGCAACUUGAAUAUAAAGGGUGGAAAGAACUCUAGCUUUUGCUGGAUUGAUCUUGACCCUCCAUAAGGACUUAUCCCUUGGCAAAAGCUGGGACAACUCGUACAACCAUGAGGGCUAUAUGGCUCUGGCUUUAGUCAAGUAUGAGUAAGCUUUUCUAGCUUGUUAGAGGUUACCCGAAAGGGCGGAGGGGCUGAACCGUUUUGGGUAUAGUGCGAGCCCCUGUCCUUAUGUGUAUAGGCUGCGCGUCAUUGUGCCAUUCGGAAGGGGGGUAUCUAUAUCUGCGCGCAAAGGAAACCUUGCGGCCCUAACUUGUUAGACGAACCUUUGAAAGACUUCAUAGUGAACCCUGCCGGCUUUCCUUGGAAGUGAGCUAAGAGGUCGACGGGCCUCGGGCGAAAGGGUAAAUCAUGACUCAUGGGUAAAGAUGUACAACCUCUGCAGAGUGUUAAAUCUGGUAUACUAGCCGUGCCCACGGAUACGGGCGGCCCGGAAAACUGACGGAAUAGAUGGACACUAAUGAAUAUGACUAAUGAUAAUAAAUGAUGGUUUAUUAUGUUGUUUAUAUGUGUUAUUCUUAAUUCUUGUAUACAUUGAUCAUGUGGUUAUGGGAUUUAAUUAUGCUACCUUGACAUUUGCUAUCCAAUGAUUAAAUAUGCUAUCAACUAUUAAAAGCUAAAUGCAGUCAAACCAGUGUCAGCUAUUUGAGCCUCAUGAACCCCUGGUUAUACUUGUUGAGUACGAUAUGUGCUCACUCUUGCAAUUUCCCAACACCUCAGGAUAUGAUAAUGAAGGUGACUGGAAUGAGGAUUAUCGUUAUGAGUACUAGGUUUGGAGUCAACCAGUCAACAGUGUCCCUGUGUGGAGCUUCCGUCGAGAGCGUUGUUUAAUAUUAUUAUCAUUUUUGUGUAAGACUAUGUGAUUUAUUAUGUUCCGCUAUGUAAUAAACACUGCAAUGGUACAAUUGAGAUUUGUCUACUUAUGUGUGCGACUAUUCCUGGGGCACAUAUGAGUCUUUUAUGCAUCCUAUUUUGUUCUUAAAAUAUGGGUGUGACAAAAGGAGGGGGGGGGGGGGGCGGCGCCGGAGCUGGGCCGGGGUGCGAUCGAAAAGAAAAAAGAAAAAGGGGAGAGAAGCUGGGCCGCACGUGCUGGGCCUGAGAGGGGAAACUGGGCUGCGGGUGGGAGGAUGGGGUGGCGCCAAACAGAAGGGGUUUUAAUUCGCUUCUUUUUUUAUUCUUUUAUUUCAAAGCUAUUUCAAAACAGUUUAAAACAAUUUUGAACUUUGCUCAAAAUCACACAGUACAAAAAUAUAAAUGCUCCAGCAUGGGUGCACAUACAUGUUACUAAAUCCUAUAAUGAGUUUUGAUUUAAUGAAAUAUUAUUUUUCCUAUAUUUUCAUGAGCACAAACAUACCCAAUUAAAUCAUUUUUCACCUAAUUUAAAAAGAGCAAAUUUUUAGGGUGUUACAAAUCUACCCCCUUAAAAUGAAUCUCGUCCUCGAGAUUCGGAAGAGGCACGGAUUCCAAAAGAGAAGCAUAAACAAGAUAUUGAUCACUAUUUCAACUUCACAACUUGUAUUCCAAAUGCAAGCACUUAUGUCUCGGGAUCACAACUUGUAAAUCAAGGUUUUCCGCAGAAUGUCUAUUAUUCAUAACUGAUUAAAGUCCAUCUUGACUACCAACUUUUUGUCUUACAACUCAAAGACAUGAUAACUUAGCAUGGAUAUGCCUCCUCAGGUAGGAGCGGACCACCUUGAUACUCAAUUCUUUACCCUGAUGGUGUGGUUAAGAAAAGUUUCCACUAGGUAGCAUAGAUCACUCCUUUGUGCGCACAUAACCAUCCAUUGACAAGAACCAAAGGAAUGUCGAGUGACUCUAGCACAAUGAGGUUUACAGUAAAGUUUUCCUUUUACACUUCCUUCGUUGUGGAUUCAGAUUUGAUUCAAUGUCAACUUGCUCUUCUAUAUUGUUAUUUUGAUAGUACUCAGCAUUGUCAUAAUCAUAACAUCUUUCUUCAAAGACAAGAUGAUCAUACUCUUCCCACAUAUCCAUGAGAGGUGUCAUAUUGUGGUCCUAAUCCAUGGGACACUACACUCCCCGUGACCAAUGUCAGUAACUCAGCAUAAAUCGUUGAUCGUAACCAUAGAAUAUCUCAGAAGACAAUUAUCACUUCAAAAUGCAUCAUCCUAUGAUAUCAGGGUACUACCCCCUUAAAAUGAGAUUGAUUGGGCACUACAAGAAAUGUAUGAUUUUUUGACAUAUUUAGUAUGACAAUAGACCGUGAUGUCAUUAUAUCAUCCAGAUUAUGACAUUAUGUAAUAGGCAUUUUGACCUAGUGACAUAAAAAAGUUGGAUGUCAUAAUAAAUGUCAUAGAACUAUUCUAAUUCCAUACCAUGUCUUUGCCACGUCAGCAUUAUCUUACGUGGCAUUUGCCAAAAUAGCACAAAAGAGACACCUUAUUCAGUGACUCGAAAUUGAAACACGUCACUAAUGUAAGAGCGAUGACGCAGAUAAAUAAAACAAGUCACUAGUUGGGAGUCAUCCCUGGCUAACAGACAAAAUGCAUGAUGCGUUCACAGCAACACGAGUCGCUGAUAAAGCAGGAUUGUUGGCAGUGACGCGUUCCUGCAACUCGUGUCUCAUAUCACCCUUCAUGGACCCGAAAAAAUAAUGAAAUCCGGUUAAAUGGUGGAAACUGAAGUCCGACACACCUUCCUCUCCCUCGCGUCUCUUCUCGGGCCAUCACCCUUUCUGGCCUUCUCUCUACUGCACCACAACACUAAUAUAGCGUCACACGUGUGUCGUUAUAAGUUCACUAAUACCAAUAAACUGUUGGCCGUUAUAGCUGGCCCACAGAUCAAAUGUCGGUAAAUGUAUCUAUUGCGUUAAACCAUCUGUCGAUAUAAAUAUUUGGCUGUAUAGUUGAACCAUCGGUCGAGAUAGAUAAACAAAGAGAACGAACAUUCGGUCAGUAUAGAGUGAUGCGUGCUUUGAAAAAGAAAAAAAGACAUGUUCCCUUUCAUGAGAAAAUAAAGAUGGGCCUUCAUGCUACCAGCCCAACUGAACACGACUCCCUCAACCCUAACCCCUAACCCCCACAUCCAGACUCCCCUCAGCCGCCACCCCACACCUCUCUCCGUCUCUUCUCUCGCCUCAAUACCACAGCUGCCGCUGCCGCUGCCGCUUGGCCUCUCUCCACCAUCGCCGGCCUUCUCCCGGCCUCCCUCUCGCUGAGCCUCCUCCUCGCCACCCUCGAACCGCCCUCCCCUUUCCCCUGCAAACCCUGCUCCUCCGCCCCUGCUUCCUCGUCGCCGCGGCGCACAUGCCGUCUCUCCAUGUUGUGCGCAUGUGUCCAUCCUAGUGCUUGGUGCAGCGGCUGUCUUCUUCGAGCACAUCCGCAAGAUCAGAUGCAUGCACUCGUAAGUCAGCUUCUGUGUUCCCGUGGUCAGGCGUUGGCGGCCAGAUCUACGGUAGCUCGGGCGAGGGCGGCCGGAUCCAUGGUGCCAUCUCCUGCGCCCCCCCACCAUGCCUUUGCGUUCAUCUCCAUGGCAGCAGAAGGCACACACAGGCACCACCGCCACUAAGCCCACCUGCGGAAUCUCCGAGAAGGUAGCAGCGAACCACUACCACAAGACUACGUCUGCCAUCCUCAUACAGGCAGCGUAGGUACUAAUCCCAAUCCCAGUCCCCCAUCUGAUCUCCAUUCCUAGAUGGAUCUGAUUUAUCCCUUUUCACAGUAGGUAGCUGAAUUGUAGCUGUCAAACACUCGUAACCUUGAGAUACAGGUGUUGGAUCUGAACUCAGUAGAAUGUUUCAGUCUACUCUUGGGAGGAUUUGGGCAAUUUACCCAUAUUGUUUUGCUACUAGAACAGUCUAAAUUAUUUAGAAAAAAUAUUAAGCCUAUUGACUAGGCCUUUUGCCCUAAUACAGAAAGUUUGUUUUUAACUCUACUAGUGGAACGCAUGACAUAUAACACUGCAGCAUUGGAUACAUGUAAACCUAGUAUGAUGCUGUGGUCCACUACUGUCUUGUUUAGAACAUAAGAGUGUGCCUAGGAAAAUAAUGAUGUAGUUUAAUUAGGCUGUUCUUCCGAGCAGAGACACUUAUGAGCCCAUGAGGGAAAAUUCUACUCCAAGGAUGCUGGCCACUCUCCCGUCAAUAUGUUCUCAUCAUGAGUAAAUGGCAGCAUUUGUGGUUAAUUCAUCAUGAUUAAAUGGCGGCAUUUGUGGUUAAUUUCGUUGACUACUUUCAGAUAACUAGAUUACUUUAGUGCCUCAUUAAGUCAUUAGUUGGUUAGCUAAUAAGCUUGAGUUAGUCCUAUAUUACAUGCAUAUCAAGUUAUUUUUAGUUCAGCAUUGUUGUGUGGCACAAACAUAUUUGUUUCAAUAUAUGCAGCCUUGGAUGUAGUCUGUUAUGCUAUUAGAGGGUUGCUCAAUAUAUGCAUUUGACUAUUUGUUUCACAUGUUAUACAGGUGAACAUUCCUAAGACCAAGAAGACCUACUGCAAGAACAAUGAGUGCUGGAAGCACACUCUGCACAAGGUGACUCAAUGCAAGAAGGGUGACGAUAGCCUAUCAGCACAAGGUGACUCUGCUAACUUUCUAAAUCUUUGUACUCCGUGGCAAGCUCACUAUAGUUCAUUUUCACUGGAGAGUUCAUUUUCUUUAACUGAACAUACAGAAUUGUUUACACAAUUCUUGUUUGAUGACUAUUAGCUAGUGAUCAUAUUCACUUCUUGCAGCUUAGUGGCUUCGAAAUUCCAUUACAGAAAUAGAAUUACAAUACCUGGAGGAAACCAUGAGAGCACACAAAUCAUUUUAGUGAGUUUACAUGUACUAGUAUUUGGAUUUUUUAUUUUGACUCAUAAUUACAGUUGUUAUAUAACCUGCUGAUGCUUCUGUGAGUUUACAUCAAUAUUUGGGCUGUCCUAGUGAUAAUACUGCUAGGUGCUAUUUUCAUAUUCAUUGACAGUAGAUUUUCAUACUAGUUAGUAUACAGUAUAGGCUACUAGCAGUAGCACUAUAACCUGUCUAGGAAGAUAUGUCAUGCUACUCUGUCUUUCUGAUAUCAUACAUAUGUAGACCAUAGUUUCUCUCUAAUUACUCAAACUCUGUAGGGAAUAGCUCAUAGCUACCGAGCUAGUUAUUAUUAAUAUUACUAGAAGUUGCUUCAAUCUUGUUAUGUUCUAUCUGAACAUAGGGUUUUCUUGCAUGUUAAUAAAAAACUUAAAAGUUACAUGGACCAAUCACCUCUAUGUAUGCAUAGAAAUAAUUUCCUAGAUACAUGGACCAAUCACCACUAUGUAUGCUAUGCACCUCUAGACUUGACAACUACUUCCUGUUUUGUAGAAAUUGAGCAAAAUGACAUUUCUUACAUUUAUGUCUUUAAUUAACUAUCUGUUGUAUUGUUGUAGCCUAGAAGCAGUUGGCCUACAUUGAGCUGAGAGGAAAGGAAGUAGCUAGAAGGUGGAUACUCUAUGUAAUUACUUACUGUGAAGUGUAAUGUGAUGUGUGAACUAAUCUGUGUACUUGAAGUGUGAACUAUCUAUACUGCUGUGAGAUGUACCAUAUUGUGAAACAUGGGAUUCAUGAAUGUACACCGUGGACCUAUUUUUUUUAUUUCUGUAAAUUGUUAUCAAAGACGCAUUUUGGCUAUAUGUGUCACUGCUAUCUUCACAAAAGUGACGUGCCCUUUCCACGUCACUAAUGACCCUCUGGACGUGUCACUAAUAUGCUUUUCUGGCAUAGUUAUUAUGACAAAUAACCAAUGUCAUACCUUAUGACAAAGAAUAUACAGAUGUCACAUGAUCCAUUUAUGACAGUGAUUUUUGGACAUAUAGUUUUUUGUCAACUAAUUGUCACAACUCUUAUAUUGUGACAUUAUUUUCAUAUGUAAUAACAUAAAUAGAAAGUCAAAAAAUCACAGGAUUCUUGUAGUGGGGGGACACUAGAGACUACUUCUCCUAUCCUUUCUAGACGCUACACAUCAUAUAGUCUUUUAAAUUUGCUGUACCGAGUCUCUUAAUCCAAGGUUAGUUUCAUCACUAAGUUCCAACUAUCGGUACCUUUAUCACAGUUAAGUUGCUCCACUCUCACACUAUACAUACAAAUCUGUAGACUUUGGUGUCAUCUGAUCCUCAUACACAACUCUUAAUCCAUGAGUAUCAGUAAUGACAUAAACCUCCAUUAGUAUUAGCACACUCCAAAUAGAAUGAUAUCUUGAAACAAACCAACAUACCAAGCACUUGAUGUACUUUAUAGAUGUUCCAGUCUUUAACCACUUCUUCUCCUUGUAGCUUCUUCAAUUGGGCUACCCCCCUUAAGGAAAGUCAACCAGGGGACACCAGAAAGGUAGCUUGCACGUUUCGAGAUAAGUUAACUAACAUUGAGAACCUCUGACGUACCAAAGAACUUAUGUGUAAGGGGAGAACAAACAAGUAUCCUGAAAUUUCCUCGUGAUAUGAAAACACCAGCGUAGUAAAAUAGGUAUAACUCUUAUUCUGUUAAUCCAAUAGAGUUGUAGCUUAUACCGUUAGAAAGAUUAUGAAAUUCACCACAACUUUCAUGUAGAAUACUUCCUCAGGUUCUGUCUUUAAACUUGAGUAAAACAGCCAAACUUAAUAUCCAUCCUAACACUGUCUCAGCAAAGGUGCAGUAACUUCCAGAAGUUAUAGCUCGAGCUACUUAACUCAUCUUGAGAUGAUCCUUACAUUUUUGAAAAGCUUAGGAAAUCCUCUACAACUUUCAUAUACAAUGUUUUUCCAGAUUCUGACUU
rnacentral:lncRNA from 1 species